rnacentral:rRNA from 1 species
CAGAACGAACGCUGGCGGCGUGGAUUAGGCAUGCAAGUCGAACGGGACUUUAUGUUGUAGCAAUACUUUAUAAAGUCUAGUGGCGUAAGGGUGAGUAACACGUGGGUAAUGUACCCGAUAGUUUGGGAUAACGUUCCGAAAGGGACGCUAAUACCGGAUGUGAUGUUAGACCGCCGGGUUUAACAAGAAAGUGGGGACCGCAAGGCCUGCCGCUAACGGAACGGCCCGCGACCUAUUAGCUAGUUGGUGGGGUAAAGGCCUACCAAGGCGAGGAUGGGUAGCCGAACUGAGAGGUUGACCGGCCACACUGGGACUGAGACACUGCCCAGACUUCUACGGAAGGCUGCAGUCGAGAAUCAUUCACAAUGGACGAAAGUCUGAUGAUGCGACGCCGCGUGCGCGAUGAAGGUCUUCGGAUUGUAAAGCGCUUUGAACAGGGAAGAAUGCCGCGUAUUUAAUAGAUAACGCGGAGGGACAGUACCUGACAAACAAGCCCCGGCUAAUUUCGUGCCAGCCGCUGC